UCAGCGGCGGACGGGUGAGUAAUGCCUAGGAAUCUGCCUGGUAGUGGGGGAUAACGUCCGGAAACGGGCGCUAAUACCGCAUACGUCCUGAGGGAGAAAGUGGGGGAUCUUCGGACCUCACGCUAUCAGAUGAGCCUAGGUCGGAUUAGCUAGUUGGUGGGGUAAAGGCCUACCAAGGCGACGAUCCGUAACUGGUCUGAGAGGAUGAUCAGUCACACUGGAACUGAGACACGGUCCAGACUCCUACGGGAGGCAGCAGUGGGGAAUAUUGGACAAUGGGCGAAAGCCUGAUCCAGCCAUGCCGCGUGUGUGAAGAAGGUCUUCGGAUUGUAAAGCACUUUAAGUUGGGAGGAAGGGCAGUAAGUUAACACCUUGCUGUUUUGACGUUACCAACAGAACAAGCACCGGCUAACUUCGUGCCAGCAGCCGCGGUAAUACGAAGGGUGCAAGCGUUAAUCGGAAUUACUGGGCGUAAAGCGCGCGUAGGUGGUUCAGCAAGUUGGAUGUGAAAUCCCCGGGCUCAACCUGGGAACUGCAUCCAAAACUACUGAGCUAGAGUACGGUAGAGGGUGGUGGAAUUUCCUGUGUAGCGGUGAAAUGCGUAGAUAUAGGAAGGAACACCAGUGGCGAAGGCGACCGCCUGGACUGAUACUGACACUGAGGUGCGAAAGCGUAGGGAGCAAACAGGAUUAGAUACCCUGGUAGUCCACGCCGUAAACGAUGUCGACUAGCCGUUGGGAUCCUUGAGAUCUUAGUGGCGCAGCUAACGCGAUAAGUCGACCGCCUGGGGAGUACGGCCGCAAGGUUAAAACUCAAAUGAAUUGACGGGGGCCCGCACAAGCGGUGGAGCAUGUGGUUUAAUUCGAAGCAACGCGAAGAACCUUACCUGGCCUUGACAUGCUGAGAACUUUCCAGAGAUGGAUUGGUGCCUUCGGGAACUCAGACACAGGUGCUGCAUGGCUGUCGUCAGCUCGUGUCGUGAGAUGUUGGGUUAAGUCCCGUAACGAGCGCAACCCUUGUCCUUAGUUACCAGCACCUCGGGUGGGCACUCUAAGGAGACUGCCGGUGACAAACCGGAGGAAGGUGGGGAUGACGUCAAGUCAUCAUGGCCCUUACGGCCAGGGCUACACACGUGCUACAAUGGUCGGUACAAAGGGUUGCCAAGCCGCGAGGUGGAGCUAAUCCCAUAAAACCGAUCGUAGUCCGGAUCGCAGUCUGCAACUCGACUGCGUGAAGUCGGAAUCGCUAGUAAUCGUGAAUCAGAAUGUCACGGUGAAUACGUUCCCGGGCCUUGUACACACCGCCCGUCACACCAUGGGAGUGGGUUGCUCCAGAAGUAGCUAGUCUAACCGCAAGGGGGACGGUUACCACGGAGUGAUUCAUGACUGGGGUGAAGUCGUAACAAGGU
rnacentral:rRNA from 1 species